rnacentral:rRNA from 1 species
AUUCCUUUGAGUUUUAGCCUUGCGGCCGUACUUCCCAGGCGGAGCGCUUAAUGCGUUAGCUGCGGCACUGCGGGGGUCAACACCCACAACACCUAGCGCUCAUCGUUUACAGCGUGGACUACCAGGGUAUCUAAUCCUGUUUGCUACCCACGCUUUCGCGUCUCAGCGUCAGUAUCCGUCCAGGUGGCCGCCUUCGCCACUGGUGUUCCUCCCGAUAUCUACGAAUUUCACCUCUACACCGGGAAUUCCGCCACCCUCUCCGGUACUCAAGCCUUGUAGUUUUGGGCGCACUUCCUCGGUUAAGCCGAGGGCUUUCACACCCAACUUGCAAGGCCGCCUACACGCGCUUUACGCCCAAUAAUUCCGAACAACGCUAGCACCCUCUGUAUUACCGCGGCUGCUGGCACAGAGUUAGCCGGUGCUUCCUUUGGAGGUACCGUCA